rnacentral:rRNA from 1 species
GAAGGUGGCAAGCGUUGUUCGGAAUUAUUGGGCUUAAAGCGCGCGUAGGGCGGACUGGAAAGUGUCUUGUGAAAACCCACGGGCUUAACCGUGGAAUUGCUUGGCAAACUAUCAGUCUUGAGGCAAGUAGGGGUACAUGGAACUCUUAGUGGAGCGGUGGAAUGCGUAGAUAUUAAGAGGAACGCCAAUGGUGAAGACAGUGUACUGGGCUUGUACUGACGCUGAGGUGCGAAAGCGUGGGGAGCGAACGGGAUUAGAUACCCCGGUAGUCCACGCUGUAAACGAUGUCUACUAGAUCGUGGGGAUUCUGACAUUUUCACGGUCGAAGCAAAAGUGAUAAGUAGACCGCCUGGGGAGUACGGUCGCAAGGCUA